GAUCGAGUGAGAGGGUAGAGGGAGCGCGGCGAGAGAGCAAGGGGUGUGCUCGGGCUUCGUGACGGCGGUACCGGAGGCAGCUAGAGCGCCGGUGGCAGCGGGGGUGCGAAGCUCUGGCGCGGAUCCUCUACGCAGCAGCAGGUGAUGCAGGAGAUGCUCCUGAGUAAGCUCGAGACGCGGAGAUGUAGCAGCCCUAGCUCGCGAAGCAGGAGAAGCUAGUGGCCGCGGAGAGGCAGUUUAUGUGGCAGCGACAACGAGGAUUUGAGGGUUGCCCGGAGGCACGCGGAUGAUCUGGGGCUCUGACUACGACUACGGGGACUCAUACUGAUGCAGCUGCUGCUGGGGAGGAACGGUUUCGUUGGUCUGCAACCUCAGGUCCUCGGUCUGCGGUGGCAGCUGCUGCUGAUGAUGUGAUCUCCACGGAUGAUGAUGCACGUCCGACGACUGCUGCUGGUCAUCAUCAAUCCUCCUAGGGUCCGUCUUCCGGACGCGGAGAAAGCUAGACAUAGGGUCAAACACGAUCGGUAGAAUACCGUUGAACAAAUUGAAUACAGACAUGAGUCUAUAACAACGAAGGCGACUGAGUAGAUACUAGCUCGUGAAAAUAAGUUCGGGAGUUCCGGGG
rnacentral:rRNA from 1 species